GCAGUCGAGCGGUAGGCCCUUCGGGGUACACGAGCGGCGAACGGGUGAGUAACACGUGGGUAACCUGCCCUGUACUCUGGGAUAAGCCUUGGAAACGAGGUCUAAUACCGGAUACGACUUCAGAUCGCAUGAUUCUAAGUGGAAAGUUCCGGCGGUAUGGGAUGGACCCGCGGCCUAUCAGCUUGUUGGUGGGGUAAUGGCCUACCAAGGCGACGACGGGUAGCCGGCCUGAGAGGGUGACCGGCCACACUGGGACUGAGACACGGCCCAGACUCCUACGGGAGGCAGCAGUGGGGAAUAUUGCACAAUGGGCGAAAGCCUGAUGCAGCGACGCCGCGUGAGGGAUGACGGCCUUCGGGUUGUAAACCUCUUUCAGCAGGGACGAAGCGCAAGUGACGGUACCUGCAGAAGAAGCACCGGCUAACUACGUGCCAGCAGCCGCGGUAAUACGUAGGGUGCGAGCGUUGUCCGGAAUUAUUGGGCGUAAAGAGCUCGUACGCGGUUUGUCGCGUCGGCCGUGAGAACUUGCGGCUUAACUCCAAGCUUGCGGUCGAUACGGGCAGACUUGAGUUCGGCAGGAGAGACUGGAAUUCCUGGUGU
rnacentral:rRNA from 1 species